rnacentral:tRNA from 1 species
GAGAGAUGGCUCAGUGGUUAAGAGCACUGACUGCUCUUCCAGAGGUCCUGAGUUCAAUUCCCAGUAAUCACA